AAAACAUAGCCUAUAACUUAACUUUAGGUACAACCCUGCCCUCUGAAAUUUUAACAGCCGCGGUAUCCUAACCGUGCUAAGGUAGCAUAAUCAUUUGCCUAUUAAUUAUAGGCUAGCAUGAACGGGAUCACUCACUUAAAUUUAUUUUCACUACAAUUAAAAUUAAACUUUAAGUUAAAAUACUAAAUUUUUAAGAAAGACAAAAAGACCCUGAAAACUAUUAGAAGAUAAUUAGUUGGGGCAACUAUAGACCAUAAACAGCGUCUAUUAAAAUUCGAAUUUUAAAAUUCAAAGCACACAGUUACUUCAGGGAUAACAGACUAAUUGUAUUAUUUAGACCUAAUAAAUAAUAAAGAUUGGCACCUCGAUGUUGGCUUAUAAUUCCUUCAUAUAGUAACAUAUAUUGAUGGCAGCUUGUUCAUCUGAUAAAUAUUUACGUGAUCU
rnacentral:rRNA from 1 species